rnacentral:rRNA from 1 species
GGUUUGGGAGGGGUUUACGAACUCCGCAUGGUGAAGGAAAGUGCCAAGAAAAGCUGGUAAUGUGAUGAAAGCAUCAUACCCGUACCCGAAACCGACACAGGUAGGGAGGUUGAGAAUACCAAGGGGCGCGAGAUAACUCUCUCUAAGGAACUCGGCAAAAUGGCCCCGUAACUUCGGAAGAAGGGGUGCCCACGAGAGUGGGUCGCAGUGAAGAGAUCCAGGCGACUGUUUACCAAAAACACAGGUCUCCGCUAACUCGAAAGAGGACGUAUGGGGGCUGACGCCUGCCCAGUGCCGGAAGGUUAAGGAAGUUGGUCAGGGGUUCGCCCUGAAGCUGACGACCGAAGCCCCGGUGAACGGCGGCCGUAACUAUAACGGUCCUAAGGUAGCGAAAUUCCUUGUCGGGUAAGUUCCGACCCGCACGAAAGGCGUAACGAUCUGGAUGGUGUCUCAGAGAGAGACUCGGCGAAAUAGGAAUGUCUGUGAAGAUACGGACUGCCUGCACCUGGACAGAAAGACCCUAUGAAGCUUUACUGUAGCCUGGAAUUGUGUUCGGGCUUGGCUUGCGCAGGAUAGGUGGGAAGCACAGAAGUACCCCUUGUGGGGGGUAUGGAGCUAACGGUGAGAUACCACUCUGGCGAAGCUAGAAUUCUAACCUAGCACCCUUGGCGGGUGUAGGAACAGUUUCAGGUGGGCAGUUUGACUGGGGCAGUCGCCUCCUAAAAGGUAACGGAGGCGCGCAAAGGUUCUCUCAGCACGCUUGGAAACCGUGCGGCGAGUGUAAAGGCAUAAAGAGAGCUUGACUGCAAGAGUGACAACUCAAGCAGGGACGAAAGUCGGCCUUAGUGAUCCGACGGCACAGAAUGGAAUGGCCGUCGCUCAACGGAUAAAAGUUACUCUAGGGAUAACAGGCUGAUCUCCCCCAAGAGUCCACAUCGGCGGGGAGGUUUGGCACCUCAUGUCGGCUCAUCGCAACCUGGGGCGGAAGUACGUCCCAAGGGUUGGGCUGUUCGCCCAUUAAAGCGGUACGUGAGCUGGGUUCGGAACGUCGUGAGACAGUUCGGUCCAUAUCCGGUGCAGGCGUAAGAGCAUUGAGAGGAGCCUUCCUUAGUACGAGAGGACCGGGAAGGACGCACCGCUGGUGUACCAGUUAUUCCACCAGGAGUAGACGCUGGGUAGCUAAGUGCGGAGCGGAUAACCGCUGAAAGCAUCUAAGUGGGAAGCCCACCUCAAGAUGAGUGCUCUCACUACUUAAGUAGGUAAGGUCACGGGCAGAACACCCGUUUAUAGGCUCUAAGUGGAAGUACAGCAAUGUAUGUAGCUGAGGAGUCCUAACAGACCGAGGGC